rnacentral:lncRNA from 12 species
CCGUGGUCUUAAAACAAAGGCCUCCGCUCCACCUCCUCAGUCUGAGGACGGUUCGCUUCCCCAUCCCCCCAAACACUCAAAGGAAGAAGAAGCAUCAGGUCUGCUAGAGCAAAAUAAAACCAAACCAACAAUAGCAAGCUUGGGGGCUAUCUCCCCCACCCCUCUUUACACCCUGGGAUCCCAGUGUCUACGUUAAACAGUGGAUACCCCCCUUCUCUAAUAUAAUGAUGGCAGCAGUUUUUAAAAAUGAGGAUUUCCCUCUUAACCAUUUGUAGAGAAACUUGGUUAGUGAGUCUGUGUGUUAUGACAGUUCCUAGGACAGCGCCAAGAUGCUCUUUUGGGGAAAAGAUAGUACAUUUGCUCAAGAUGUCACCCAAAGUUUUAGAGCACAGUGAAUGUGCCACACAGAGGAGAAGAAUUUGUAAGGCUAGACUCCCUCGCAAAGUUAAACAUCAGGGCAAACAGAGCCAAAAGGAUGACAUAGCCUUGCAGCUUCCAGCUUUGCUAAUGAAAUCAAUCAGAAUGUUCAUUAAAGUAAUCCCAGAACUCGGCACGUCCACAGCUUGUUACUGA